rnacentral:tRNA from 1 species
GAGGGUACAGCUCAGUGGUAGAGUGUGUGCUUAGCAUGCACAAGGUCCUAGGUUCAAUCCCCAAUAACUCCA